rfam:Naumovozyma castellii NRRL Y-12630 YM476-Contig709, whole genome shotgun sequence.
UCCAAUGAUGAGACCUUUUAGAUGACGAGUCUGAUCUUUGAAGUGAAGACAAAUCUAAUUUAAUACCAUUCAUGCCUUUCUGAGA